rnacentral:rRNA from 1 species
GGGUUGUGAGGUUAAGCGACUAAGCGUACACGGUGGAUGCCCUGGCAGUCAGAGGCGAUGAAGGACGUGCUAAUCUGCGAUAAGCGUCGGUAAGGUGAUAUGAACCGUUAUAACCGGCGAUUUCCGAAUGGGGAAACCCAGUGUGAUUCGUCACACUAUCAUUAACUGAAUCCAUAGGUUAAUGAGGCGAACCGGGGGAACUGAAACAUCUAAGUACCCCGAGGAAAAGAAAUCAACCGAGAUUCCCCCAGUAGCGGCGAGCGAACGGGGAGCAGCCCAGAGCCUGAAUCAGUGUGUGUGUUAGUGGAAGCGUCUGGAAAGGCGUGCGAUACAGGGUGACAGCCCCGUACACAAAAAUGCACAUACUGUGAGCUCGAUGAGUAGGGCGGGACACGUGGUAUCCUGUCUGAAUAUGGGGGGACCAUCCUCCAAGGCUAAAUACUCCUGACUGACCGAUAGUGAACCAGUACCGUGAGGGAAAGGCGAAAAGAACCCCGGCGAGGGGAGUGAAAAAGAACCUGAAACCGUGUACGUACAAGCAGUGGGAGCACGCUUAGGCGUGUGACUGCGUACCUUUUGUAUAAUGGGUCAGCGACUUAUAUUCUGUAGCAAGGUUAACCGAAUAGGGGAGCCGAAGGGAAACCGAGUCUUAACUGGGCGUUAAGUUGCAGGGUAUAGACCCGAAACCCGGUGAUCUAGCCAUGGGCAGGUUGAAGGUUGGGUAACACUAACUGGAGGACCGAACCGACUAAUGUUGAAAAAUUAGCGGAUGACUUGUGGCUGGGGGUGAAAGGCCAAUCAAACCGGGAGAUAGCUGGUUCUCCCCGAAAGCUAUUUAGGUAGCGCCUCGUGAAUUCAUCUCCGGGGGUAGAGCACUGUUUCGGCAAGGGGGUCAUCCCGACUUACCAACCCGAUGCAAACUGCGAAUACCGGAGAAUGUUAUUACGGGAGACACACGGCGGGUGCUAACGUCCGUCGUGAAGAGGGAAACAACCCAGACCGCCAGCUAAGGUCCCAAAGUCAUGGUUAAGUGGGAAACGAUGUGGGAAGGCCCAGACAGCCAGGAUGUUGGCUUAGAAGCAGCCAUCAUUUAAAGAAAGCGUAAUAGCUCACUGGUCGAGUCGGCCUGCGCGGAAGAUGUAACGGGGCUAAACCAUGCACCGAAGCUGCGGCAGCGACGCUUAUGCGUUGUUGGGUAGGGGAGCGUUCUGUAAGCCUGUGAAGGUGUGCUGUGAGGUAUGCUGGAGGUAUCAGAAGUGCGAAUGCUGACAUAAGUAACGAUAAAGCGGGUGAAAAGCCCGCUCGCCGGAAGACCAAGGGUUCCUGUCCAACGUUAAUCGGGGCAGGGUGAGUCGACCCCUAAGGCGAGGCCGAAAGGCGUAGUCGAUGGGAAACAGGUUAAUAUUCCUGUACUUGGUGUUACUGCGAAGGGGGGACGGAGAAGGCUAUGUUGGCCGGGCGACGGUUGUCCCGGUUUAAGCGUGUAGGCUGGUUUUCCAGGCAAAUCCGGAAAAUCAAGGCCGAGGCGUGAUGACGAGGCACUACGGUGCUGAAGCAACAAAUGCCCUGCUUCCAGGAAAAGCCUCUAAGCAUCAGGUAACAUCAAAUCGUACCCCAAACCGACACAGGUGGUCAGGUAGAGAAUACCAAGGCGCUUGAGAGAACUCGGGUGAAGGAACUAGGCAAAAUGGUGCCGUAACUUCGGGAGAAGGCACGCUGAUACGUAGGUGAAGCGACUUGCUCGUGGAGCUGAAAUCAGUCGAAGAUACCAGCUGGCUGCAACUGUUUAUUAAAAACACAGCACUGUGCAAACACGAAAGUGGACGUAUACGGUGUGACGCCUGCCCGGUGCCGGAAGGUUAAUUGAUGGGGUUAGCGCAAGCGAAGCUCUUGAUCGAAGCCCCGGUAAACGGCGGCCGUAACUAUAACGGUCCUAAGGUAGCGAAAUUCCUUGUCGGGUAAGUUCCGACCUGCACGAAUGGCGUAAUGAUGGCCAGGCUGUCUCCACCCGAGACUCAGUGAAAUUGAACUCGCUGUGAAGAUGCAGUGUACCCGCGGCAAGACGGAAAGACCCCGUGAACCUUUACUAUAGCUUGACACUGAACAUUGAGCCUUGAUGUGUAGGAUAGGUGGGAGGCUUUGAAGUGUGGACGCCAGUCUGCAUGGAGCCGACCUUGAAAUACCACCCUUUAAUGUUUGAUGUUCUAACGUGGACCCGUGAUCCGGGUUGCGGACAGUGUCUGGUGGGUAGUUUGACUGGGGCGGUCUCCUCCUAAAGAGUAACGGAGGAGCACGAAGGUUGGCUAAUCCUGGUCGGACAUCAGGAGGUUAGUGCAAUGGCAUAAGCCAGCUUGACUGCGAGCGUGACGGCGCGAGCAGGUGCG